rnacentral:tRNA from 1 species
UGUUCUCGUAGCUCAGUCGGUCAGUAUGGGCUUUAGCGUAUGACUGUUAAUCAUAAGGUUAGGAGUUCAAGUCUCCUCGAGAAC